rnacentral:rRNA from 1 species
UGGGGACUAUUGCACAAUGGGCGAAAGCCUGAUGCAGCAACGCCGCGUGCGGGAUGACGGCCUUCGGGUUGUAAACCGCUUUCAGCAGGGACGAAGGGUUUCUGACGGUACCUGCAGAAGAAGCACCGGCUAACUCCGUGCCAGAAGCCGCGGUGAUACGUAGUGUGCGAGCGUUGUCCGGAAUUCUUGGGCGUAAAGAGCUCGUAGGCGGUCUGUCACGUCGGAAGUGAAAACUCAGGGCUUAACCCUUAGCCUGCUUUCGAUACGGGCAGACUAGAGGAAGGUAGGGGAGAACGGAACUCCUGGUGGAGCGGUGGAAUGCGCAGAUAUCAGGAAGAACACCGGUGGCGAAGGCGGUUCUCUGGACCUUUCCUGACGCUGAGGAGCGAAAGCGUGGGGAGCAAACA